rnacentral:rRNA from 1 species
CCGGUUAAAUCCACCUGCUUAACAGAUGGGCCGCUGGAGAUACUACAAAGCUAGGGAGUGGGAGAGGCGGACGGUAUUCGGGGGGUAGGGGUAAAAUCCUCUGAUCCUCCGAGGACCACCAGUGGCGAAGGCGGUCUGCCAGAACACGUUCGACGGUGAGGGAUGAAAGCUGGGGGAGCAAACCGGAUUAGAUACCCGGGUAGUCCCAGCUGUAAACGAUGCAAACUCGGUGAUGCAUUGGCUUAUGGCCAAUGCAGUGCCGCAGGGAAGCCGUUAAGUUUGCCGCCUGGGAAGUACGGACGCAAGUCUGAAACUUAAAGG